AUUGAACGCUGGCGGCAUGCUUUACACAUGCAAGUCGAACGGUAACAGCACUUCGGUGGCUGACGAGUGGCGAACGGGUGAGUAAUACAUCGGAACGUGCCUAGUAGUGGGGGAUAACUACUCGAAAGAGUAGCUAAUACCGCAUGAGAUCUAAGGAUGAAAGCAGGGGACCUUCGGGCCUUGUGCUACUAGAGCGGCUGAUGGCAGAUUAGGUAGUUGGUGGGAUAAAAGCUUACCAAGCCGACGAUCUGUAGCUGGUCUGAGAGGACGACCAGCCACACUGGGACUGAGACACGGCCCAGACUCCUACGGGAGGCAGCAGUGGGGAAUUUUGGACAAUGGGCGCAAGCCUGAUCCAGCAAUGCCGCGUGCAGGAUGAAGGCCUUCGGGUUGUAAACUGCUUUUGUACGGAACGAAAAGCCCUCUUCUAAUACAGGAGGGUCAUGACGGUACCGUAAGAAUAAGCACCGGCUAACUACGUG
rnacentral:rRNA from 1 species